UAGCUGGCCCCUCGGGGAAACGUGCACACCCGAGCCCUUAAUCCACACACACCUGUGAACCUAUUGUAAGGGCCCUUAAACAAGGCCCUUACGUUUUACCACCAACCCAUUGUAUGUCUUGCAGAAUGUACAUUUGUAUCCUCGCCUUAAACAAGCGUUGAUAAACCUUAUACAACUUUCAACAACGGAUCUCUUGGCUCUCGCAUCGAUGAAGAACGCAGCGAAAUGCGAUAAGUAAUGUGAAUUGCAGAUUUUCAGUGAAUCAUCGAAUCUUUGAACGCACCUUGCGCUCCUUGGUAUUCCGAGGAGCAUGCCUGUUUGAGUGUCAUUAAAUUCUCAACUCUGAAUCGAUUUGUUUCGAUUCGGGGCUUGGAUUUGGAGCGUGCUGGCGUCGGUCGGCUCCUCUUAAACAUAUCAGCGGAAAUCUAACGUUUCGGGCGUCAGUGUGAUAAUCAUGUUGCGCUGUCACCCGAUGUGAUAGGCCCGCUCACAAU
rnacentral:rRNA from 1 species